GGCUCAUUCUGGGUUCCCCCGAGCUGAGAGGUGGGCUAUAGGGGAGGCACCCCCUGAGAUGUUCCAGGGCCCCAUAGGCCACCCCUUGUCGGAGGAGAGCGGAUCGACUCCUGGCACACUUCUCCAAAUUAUUCUUCCAAGUCCCUGGUCCUGCUCCAUGGAGAAGCCACAAAGCAGAAGUGUUAGUGAGGCUGGAGACUUGGAUACGUGAAAGAGAAGACAUAGAGUGCUUCCUUUAAGUGAAAAGGUUCUGUAAAACCAAAGAAAACUACCCAUGCUAGCUGGUGUAAAGGACCAAGUAUGAAGCUGACUUAUGGAAGAGUAGAGUUUUCACAUUCUGAUUAUAUCAUCCUCCUUACCCUGACCAAUUGAUAUCCCCAAUUUUCCAGCCCCUUGCCCUCCAUGAUCCUCUUAAAGAUCGUGGUACAAA